GCUGUGUGCUGCCAGAAUGACCAGCAGGGGGCGCAAAGGCCACGCCAGGCACCUGCUGGCCUCAGAGAAAACAGAAAGGGAACCAGGAAGCCCACUCCUGCUGUCCUUUCUCUGCAAGAAAAUGUGCCAGGGCACUGCAGCCCAGACAGUCGGCAGUAGAGGACCCAUGAAGUAUCUUUGUGCAAAGAAAGCAGCAAAGAGAAUUAAGAGAACUGCAUCAUAUAAAGAGUGAAUUAAACCAUCUAAAAGAGCAAAAAGUCAUCAUCACAUGGACAAGAAAUUAAGAUCAGCUGGAAACCUGGGAGCAGAAGCCCAGCAUAAAGAUCUCUGAAAGCCGGGAUGCGUGGAUUCCUCUCAUUUCCCAAAACCGUGGGGUGGAAAUGUGAAUAUCAGCAUGAUGCACAGAUCUCUGCAGAUGUCCAGCGAACUGAAUUUCUAGACGCUAUAAUCUACGUUCUUUCCCAACCCCCACUUCAUUUUACAUAUCGCAGGCCAUAGAUCCUGUGUGUUGAAAAGCAAUCAGCUAGAAUACAAGAGUGGUUAUAACCUGUGCUGCCCAGCGAUCAGGAAAAGAGAGCGGAUGAAACUUCCAUGACUUUCUGUUAGUCUGAUUGAUAUCCAUGCCAAAUGUAAGAUUAGUUAAAAGGCCUUAUUGCUUCCCACCAAAAUGUUCCUUCACUAGCUAUAUACUACACUGAAAUGUAAAGUUAUGGGUAUGUUUAACAGUUUAAUUUGUCAGUGGGCAUCCAGCUCUUCUAUUUGUGUUUUUACUUUGAGCUUAAUUGGAGCAGACAAAUAGAGGUGACCUCUAACUGUUUUCUUCCUGAAGCCAUUUUCAGGGCAGAAGUGCUUUACCCACUUCGUUGAGAAACCACCUUUGCAUGCAGUACCCUGAGUUGU